ACGGCCAUACCACGUUGAAAACACCGGUUCACGUCCGAUCACCGAAGUUAAGCAACGUCGGGCCCGGUCAGUACUUGGGAGGGUGACAGUAGAAAAUAUGAUCGUCAGAAAGACAAGAGCUAAAAACU